rnacentral:lncRNA from 1 species
CUUACAACAACCUCACCAGACAAGCUGCGUGCUUUCCUUGUGCAGCAGGCUACUACUGCCCAGAAAAUACUACCAGCUACAGUGAGAAUCCGUGCCCAGCUGGCUUCUACUGCCCCAAAGGUGAGAUGAGCCCAGGGGACAAGGUCAGCUAUCAGCCAGGGUGAAAUAAUUUUAUUUUAAGGCAGGGAGUGGUCCCUGUGAAAUAAACCUUCAGCCGUCAGUCUGGUUCUUCACAGAAAAAUAACCCAAUCAUUUAAACCACAGACAAGGCUGUCAUUUAACCCCCCCACCAGUAAGCUGAUCAGCACCUGGAGGUUGUCGUGGCCCUGAAAGCCGGGCUGUGCACUGGGGAGGUCAACAUGGAGAUAAACUGGCAAAAAUCAUAGAAUCACAGUCAUAAACUGGCAAAGAUGAAGGAGGUGAUGCUGAGGGAUUAAUAGCCAAGAUCCUAUGUAUAGUCCGUGAAACAUUCUGCCUUUAUUUCAAAGGAACCAGGUUUGCUACUGAGUUUCCCUGUCCUCGGGGCUACUUUAACCCAGACCCCAUGGCACAGAGCUUGGAUAGCUGCUUGCCCUGUCCUCCUGGGCAUUACUGUGGGAAGGAGAACUUGACAGCUGCAUCAGGCAAGUGUGAUGCAGGAUGGUUUUGCAUCUCAGCUGCUUGGACGCCACGGCCUUUUGAUCUGGAUAAUUACACCAACGCCAACUGCCUCUGUCCCGCCACUGCCACUGGAGGGAAGUGCAUAGCUGGUUUCUACUGUCCCACAGGAAGCCCAGAGCCUCUUCCCUGCCCUCCAGGGUUUUACUGCAAUGCCCCAGGUCUGUCCAUCCCCAGUGGGGAAUGUGCUGCUGGCUUUUACUGUAAAGGUGGAGCAACCCUGCCUAAUCCAAGAGAUGAUGUGACUGGGAAUAUCUGCCCUGCAGGGACUUACUGCACUGCAGCAUCGGCAGUCCCCACGCUCUGCCCAGCAGGCACUUUCUCUAGCCUGCCAGGGAGGAGAACACUUUCUGAGUGCCAGCCUUGCCCCUCUGGCUUCUAUUGUGAGUUACCUGGUCUCAGUGCCCCCACUGGAGAGUGCUGGGAAGGUUAUUACUGUGACAACCAACAAGGGCCAGUUAUAGAUUUCACCCUUUACCCGUGCCCACAAGGUUUUUACUGCCCACCAGGGACAAACAGGAGCACUCAGUACAGCUGUCCUGAAGGAACCUUUGGACCAAGGCAAAGGCUAAGAACUAUCAAGGAAUGUCAGAGAUGCCCACCGGGAAAAUACUGUGAAUCCUCUGGACUUGCUGCCCCAACAGGUCCAUAAAACAUUUAAGUGACUUCAGGCUUCAUGUAAGGAUGGUUUGAAUAUGUGCCUAAGGAGAAAUGUGUGUUUAAGGACCUGCCCAGUCAUGGAGGCACUGCUUGCAAGAUCUGAGCUAAGUAGGAUGCUUCCCUAUUUAGGAGCUGUCAGCUUGUCAUCUGCUACCAGUUCUCCACUCCCCUAUGGUUACAAGCAACUUCUCCACUUGAUGGCCAUCAUUUAUUUCUAGACCAGCGCUGGCUCUACACCACGCUAUAGCAAAUGUUUGUAUUUCAGUAUGUAUGCUGAAACCUCUAUCUUUGUGCCUAUUUUUAAUACAGUUGUGUGCUUUUUGUAUGUUGUUCCAUUUUAUAGGAGACUGUGCUGAGGGAUUCUGGUGCAAAAGUGGUGCCCGAGUAAGAAAUCCUCAAGAUGGAGAAUCAGGACUUCCUUGUCCACCUGGUCAUUAUUGUCCAGAAGGUAGGAUGCUUUGCUAAAGCACAUUUUUUCUUAUUUCAUGUAAAGCACGAGGUGGCAUUUCCUCCCUCUGGUGCCAUUCAUUUUCCCAGGUGCACCACUUCCCCUAGAGUGCCCUCCUGGCACUUGGUCUUGCAGUGAAGGCAGCAGCAGUUUGCAGCAAUGCCUGCCUUGCCCUGGGGGAUACUACUGCAAUAGCUCUGGACAGAGGGCUCCCACAGGACCCUGCAGCCCAGGGUAAGAGAAGAUUGAACACAUUUAUGUACUCUUUAUAAGGAAAGGUGUUCUCCAAGUGGUCUUCUUCACCAUCUUGAUAUAAUGACAGUAUGCUCCUAUACUCACUGCUGCAGGUAUUACUGUGUCACCAGGGCCCAGACCCCAGCACCCACAGAUGGCCUCUCGGGAGCUCCAUGUCCUGUCAAUCACUUUUGUCCUCUUGGAUCCAGGAGUCCAACACCAUGUCCUGCUGGCUCCUACAUGCCACAGACCCAUGGAGAGAAGUGCCAGGCUUGCCCAGAGGGUGAAUACUGUGCCCCUGGGGA